rnacentral:rRNA from 1 species
GAUGAACGCUGGCGGCAUGGAUAAGGCAUGCAAGUCGAAAGGGUUUAGGCCCUUGGCAAACGGGUUAGUAAUACAUAGGAAUCUGCCCUGAAGUCGUGGGAUAAUCCGGAGAAAUCCGGAACAAUACACGAUAUGCUCUACGGAGUAAAGAUUUAUCGCUUCAGGAGGAGCCUGUGUCCUAUCAGCUAGUUGGUAAGGUAAAGCUUACCAAGGCUAUGACGGGUAGGGGUGUGAGAGCAUGGCCCCCAACAUUGGAACUGAGACACUGUCCAAACACCUACGGGUGGCUGCAGUCGAGAUAUUUGUCAAUGCGCGAAAGCGUGAACAAGCAAUGCCGCGUGCA